AGUUUAUCUCAAGACAGGACGGGAGCAUCAAUAGGAGCCUGCCACAGAUCCUCCUGCUGUCCCUCACUCUUUUUCUUCCAUAAAGAGGUCAACAACUUGGUAUUCUGUGGACAAUUAUCAAACAGAGUAUCGAGCUAUGGCAAAAGCUGUCGAACAAUUUCUCCGACUUUACUAAGGAUUUUGAUAGUAUCCUUUGAGCAACACUGUGGAAGACUACAUACUCGUACAGCGUCCCUCAGCGAUUUGUCGACAUCUUCCGAAAUAUCUACCACUACUUGAGCUGCUGUGUUUGCACAGACCACAGUAUCUCUGAUUUCUUCCAGAUCGAUACAGGCGUGCAACAAGAGUGUGUGCUAUCAUCGUUUCCUCCACCUGGCCAUGGACUACAUCAUGCAAUGCUUUCUUAUUCAUGGCGACUUUG